rnacentral:rRNA from 1 species
GAAUUCGCCCUUAGAGUUUGAUCCUGGCUCAGGACGAACGCUGGCGGCGCGCCUAACACAUGCAAGUCGAACGGAGCUUAGAGAGCUUGCUUUUUAAGCUUAGUGGCGAACGGGUGAGUAACGCGUGAGUAACCUGCCCUAGAGUGGGGGACAACAGUUGGAAACGACUGCUAAUACCGCAUAAGCCCACGGUGCCGCAUGACACUGAGGGAAAAGGAUUUAUUCGCUUUAGGAUGGACUCGCGUCCAAUUAGCUAGUUGGUGAGGUAACGGCCCACCAAGGCGACGAUUGGUAGCCGGACUGAGAGGUUGAACGGCCACAUUGGGACUGAGACACGGCCCAGACUCCUACGGGAGGCAGCAGUGGGGGAUAUUGCACAAUGGGGGAAACCCUGAUGCAGCGACGCCGCGUGGAGGAAGAAGGUUUUCGGAUUGUAAACUCCUGUCGUUAGGGACGAUAAUGACGGUACCUAACAAGAAAGCACCGGCUAACUACGUGCCAGCAGCCGCGGUAAAACGUAGGGUGCAAGCGUUGUCCGGAAUUACUGGGUGUAAAGGGAGCGCAGGCGGGAAGACAAGUUGGAAGUGAAAACCAUGGGCUCAACCCAUGAAUUGCUUUCAAAACUGUUUUUCUUGAGUAGUGCAGAGGUAGAUGGAAUUCCCGGUGUAGCGGUGGAAUGCGUAGAUAUCGGGAGGAACACCAGUGGCGAAGGCGGCCUACUGGGCACCAACUGACGCUGAGGCUCGAAAGUGUGGGUAGCAAACAGGAUUAGAUACCCUGGUAGUCCACACCGUAAACGAUGAU